rnacentral:rRNA from 1 species
CCCUACGGGGGGCAGCAGUAGGGAAUCUUCCACAAUGGGCGAAAGCCUGAUGGAGCAACGCCGCGUGGGUGAAGAAGGUCUUCGGAUCGUAAAACCCUGUUGUUAGAGAAGAAAGUGCGUGAGAGUAACUGUUCACGUUUCGACGGUAUCUAACCAGAAAGCCACGGCUAACUACGUGCCAGCAGCCGCGGUCAUACGUAGGUGGCAAGCGUUAUCCGGAUUUAUUGGGCGUAAAGAGAACGCAGGCGGUCUUUUCAGCCUGAUGUGAAAGCCUUCGGCUUAAACGGAGUAGUGCAUUGGAAACU